AGAGUUUGAUCCUGGCUCAGGAUUAACGCUGGCGGCAUGCCUAAUACCAAUGCAAGUCGAUCGGGUGCAGCAAUGCAUCAGAGGCGAACGGGUGAGUAACACGUAUCCAAUUUACCCCCAUAGCGAGGGAUAACUUAGUCGAAAGAUUAGCUAAUACCGCAUAACGAUUAAAAUAUCGCAUGAGAAUUAAUUUAAAGAUCCGUUUGGAUUACUAUGGGAUAAGGGUGCGGCAUAUCAGCUAGUUGGUGAGGUAACGGCCCACCAAGGCAAUGACGUGUAGUUAUGCUGAGAGGUAGAAUAACCACAAUGGAACUGAGACACGGUCCAUACUCCUACGGGAGGCAGCAGUAGGGAAUUUUUCACAAUGGACGAAAGUCUGAUGGAGCAAUGCCGCGUGAACGAUGAAGGUCUUUGUAGAUUGUAAAGUUCUUUUAUUUAGGAAGAAAAGCUAGUAAAGGAAAUGUUAUUAGUUUGACCGUACUAUUUGAAUAAGUAACGACUAACUAUGUGCCAGCAGUCGCGGUAAUACAUAGGUUGCAAGCGUUAUCCGGAUUUAAUUGGGCGUAAAACAAGCGCAGGCGGAUUAGAAAGUCUGGUGUUAAAAUCAACUGCUUAACGGUGAAUGCAUUGGAAACUUCUAGUCUAGAGUGUGGUAGAGAGUUCUGGAACUCCAUGUGGAGCGGUGGAAUGCGUAGAUAUAUGGAAGAACACCAGCUGCGAAGGCGAGAACUUAGGCCAUUACUGACGCUUAGGCUUGAAAAGUGUGGGGAGCAAAUAGGAUUAGAUACCCUAGUAGUCCACACCGUAAACGAUGGAUGUUAAACGUCGGGGCGAUCACCUCGGUGUUGCAGUUAACACAUUAAACAUCCUGCCUGGGUAGUACAUUCGCAAGAAUGAAACUCAAACGAAUUGACGGGGACCCGCACAAGUGGUGGAGCAUGUUGCUUAAUUCGACGGUACACGAAAAACCUUACCUAGACUUGACAUCCUUGGCAAAACUAUAGAAAUAUAGUCGAGGUUAACCGAAAGACAGGUGGUGCAUGGUUGUCGUCAGCUCGUGUCGUGAGAUGUUGGGUUAAGUCCCGCAACGAGCGCAACCCUUAUCGUUAGUUACUUUGUCUAACGAGACUGCCAACGCAAGUUGGAGGAAGGUGGGGAUGACGUCAAAUCAUCAUGCCCCUUAUGUCUAGGGCUGCAAACGUGCUACAAUGGCCAAUACAAACAGUUACCAAACCGUAAGGUGGAGUUAAUCUGCAAAGUUGGUCUCAGUUCGGAUUGAGGGCUGCAAUUCGCCCUCAUGAAGUCAGGAAUCACUAGUAAUCGCGAAUCCAGCUAUGUCGCGGUGAAUACGUUCUCGGGUCUUGUACACACCGCCCGUCAAACUACGAGAGUUGAUAGUUGUCUAAAACCGUGUUGCUAACCCGCAAGGAAGCGCAUGUCUAGGG
rnacentral:rRNA from 1 species